rnacentral:rRNA from 1 species
AUGGAUAAGGAGAUAUAUGAAGCUGUCGCUGAUUUGGGAAAUUUUUUUAGAGAGUUGUGUUGCAAAACUUUGAAGCUAGAUGUUUUAGAAAGACUUAAGGAAGAAAUCCCAGUUAUUCUUUGCAAACUCGAGAAAUUUUUUCCUCCAGCUUUCUUUGAUGUCAUGGUGCAUCUAGCCGUUCAUUUACCGGAUGAGGCAAUUCUUAGAGGCCCGGUGCAGUACGGAUGGAUGUAUCCAAUUGAGAGAAGGCUACUUACUUGUAAGCGUUAUGUGAGGAACAUGGCCAGACCUGAAGGAUCGAUUGCAGAAGAAUAG